AAAUAGAAAGAUCUCAUUCAUUAAAUCCAAUCAGUUGCAUUACAUGGUACAUAAUCCAUAGAAUAUAUAUACAUGAUUCCCAUACAUUGACCAUGAAAGUGGCAUUCUGUAACAUUAAUGUAAAACUAUGUAGUAGUAGGCCCAUUCUCCACCUUGCGAUCAACAACUUUGCCAUGCACCAUCCAUUUAUCUGGGCGAUCUAUAGCAGCAAAAAAGUCUAUGUAGUAGUAGCCCCAUUCUCCACCUUGCAAUCAGCAACUUUGCCAGGCACCAUCCAUUUAUCUGGGCAAUCUAUAGCAGCAAAAAAGUUGAGUGAUGUAUCAUUAGAGAAAGAAGAAGAAAACCCGGUUAAUAGAGCAAUAAAAUGUAGAAGAUAAGCAACAUACAAAGGUCGAAUGGCAAGAUCAGUAAUCUAACUGCAUGGCUGGUACUUCUGACAUUUUUGAGUUGUCACACCAACUGAUCAUAUUUUUCUGAUGUAGCAUCAACACACAAUGCUCACAAUUCAUUUCCAAAGUUAAGAACCUCAAUUUAUAUUCUAGGAUAUUACUUACCACUAUAACAAUCAGAUUUUCUCUCAGCCAACAGGGACAUGCAUUUUCUCUCAGCCAACAGGGACAUGCAUUUCUCUUAUAUAUUUCCCAAACUUUGAAGAUACUAACGAACAUUCACCAUUUCUAAAUCUCUGAAAAUCAAGAAUGUGAUGAUAAUACAAUCAAACAUCGUCUAUGAAGAGGUUAUAACUAAAAUUAUUUCAUAGUUGGUUACUGUAGACACACAACUUGAUGUACAUGAAGUACCGAGUAGGCCUAAUAUUAGAAUGAAGAAUAAAAAACAUCUCAUUAAUAACAAUAUACAAUAUAUAGGUUGUUCGGGAGCCAUUCUAAAAUUGAUGUUCAUGCAUGCUAAAUGGAAUUAUCUAUAGAAAUGUACGUGUACAGGUUGCAUAGCAAAAUCUAAGCAAAAUCUCUGUAUAAUGAUUUAAUGAAUAUAGCAUACCUGCAUUGAAAUUAUUUUCUUCCAUAAGCCACUUCUAAAAUAUGCCCCAUAUCACUCGAGUACAUCCGGAUGUUUUGUUCUGUUCAAAAGAAGUAUUUGAACAAUAAUACCAACAUGUUAGUACCAUUGUAACCACAUUCAAAAGGGAUAUCUAGAGAUAUACAUAGGUCAUCCACAUCAUUUGCACUGUUGGACAUCCACAUAGUUUGAAC
rnacentral:lncRNA from 1 species